AAAUAAUUUUUUUUAAAAAAAAAUAGUUUCGACCUAUAUAAAAUUUGAUAUUAUCUU
rnacentral:tRNA from 1 species